rnacentral:rRNA from 1 species
GACGAACGCUGGCGGCGUGCUUAACACAUGCAAGUCGAACGGAAAGGCCUCAGCUUGCUGGGGUACUCGAGUGGCGAACGGGUGAGUAACACGUGGGUGAUCUGCCUUGCACUCUGGGAUAAGCUUGGGAAACUGGGUCUAAUACCGGAUAUGAACUGCCUUUAGUGUGGUGGUUGGAAAGUUUUUUCGGUGCAAGAUGAGCUCGCGGCCUAUCAGCUUGUUGGUGGGGUAAUGGCCUACCAAGGCGUCGACGGGUAGCCGGCCUGAGAGGGUGUACGGCCACAUUGGGACUGAGAUACGGCCCAGACUCCUACGGGAGGCAGCAGGGGGGAAUAUUGCACAAUGGGCGGAAGCCUGAUGCAGCGACGCCGCGUGGGGGAUGACGGGCUUCGGGUUGUAAACUCCUUUCGACAGGGACGAAGCUUUUUGUGACGGUACCUGUAAAAGAAGCACCGGCUAACUACGUG